UAGCGGGAGGCCUAACACAUGCAAGCCGAGCGGUAGAAGUCCUUCGGGACUUUGAGAGCGGCGCACGGGUGCGGAACACGUGUGCAACCUACCUUUAUCAGGGGGAUAGCCUUUCGAAAGGAAGAUUAAUACCCCAUAAUAUAAUUGAUGGCAUCAUUAAUUAUUGAAAACUCCGGUGGAUAGAGAUGGGCACGCGCAAGAUUAGAUAGUUGGUGAGGUAACGGCUCACCAAGUCAAUGAUCUUUAGGGGGCCUGAGAGGGUGAUCCCCCACACUGGUACUGAGACACGGACCAGACUCCUACGGGAGGCAGCAGUGAGGAAUAUUGGACAAUGGGUGAGAGCCUGAUCCAGCCAUCCCGCGUGAAGGACGACGGCCCUAUGGGUUGUAAACUUCUUUUGUAUAGGGAUAAACCUUUCCACGUGUGGAAAGCUGAAGGUACUAUACGAAUAAGCACCGGCUAACUCCGUGCCAGCAGCCGCGGUAAUACGGAGGGUGCAAGCGUUAUCCGGAUUUAUUGGGUUUAAAGGGUCCGUAGGCGGACUCGUAAGUCAGUGGUGAAAUCUCAUAGCUUAACUAUGAAACUGCCAUUGAUACUGCGGGUCUUGAGUAAAGUAGAAGUGGCUGGAAUAAGUAGUGUAGCGGUGAAAUGCAUAGAUAUUACUUAGAACACCAAUUGCGAAGGCAGGUCACUAUGUUUUAACUGACGCUGAUGGACGAAAGCGUGGGGAGCGAACAGGAUUAGAUACCCUGGUAGUCCACGCCGUAAACGAUGCUAACUCGUUUUUGGGUUUUCGGAUUCAGAGACUAA
rnacentral:rRNA from 1 species